UACGAAGGUCCCAAGCGUUAUCCGGAUUCACUGGGUUUAAAGGGUGCGUAGGCGGGUUGGUAAGUCAGUGGUGAAAUCUUCAAGCUUAACUUGGAAACUGCCGUUGAUACUAUCAAUCUUGAAUAUUGUGGAGGUAAGCGGAAUAUGUCAUGUAGCGGUGAAAUGCUUAGAUAUGACAUAGAACACCAAUUGCGAAGGCAGCUUACUACAGGGAUAUUGACACUGAGGCACGAAAGCGUGGGGAUCAAACAGG
rnacentral:rRNA from 1 species